rnacentral:lncRNA from 1 species
GAUGAAAAGUUUGAAAUACAUCUGAUGGCUUCAACACCUCAACAAAAAAACAUCUCACGGAAGUGAUGACCGCAAUAUUGAUCUUUCUUAUCUCAAGGAGGUGGCAAUCCAGGAAACAAACCAAACACCCCUUUGAUCCUUUGCGUAAGUUUUUCUAAAGCUUCCUUUUGGUCAUGGAACUGAAUACCAUUGAAGCUUGAUCUUUAUUUGAUCGGCUUCGAAAUCUUGAUUUUUGUUGUUAUUAACAUAUUACAUUGAGUAAAAUGUCAUUUUCGUCCCUGAGGUUUGGCCAGUUUUGCGACUUUUGUCCAAAGGUUUGUUUUUCCGCAUCUUUGUUAUCUGUA